rfam:Ictidomys tridecemlineatus contig002098, whole genome shotgun sequence.
AGGGAUAUAGCUCAGUUGGUAGAGUGAUUGCCUUACAUACACAAGGCCUUGGGUUCAAUUCCCAGAACCCCCC